rnacentral:snoRNA from 1 species
CCGGGGCUAUGUGGCGCCUGCGACAGCUGUCAGUGCUGAUCCAGGGAAGCAUGCCCCUAGACCG